rfam:Desertifilum sp. IPPAS B-1220 NODE_5_length_178902_cov_33.8927, whole genome shotgun sequence.
GGGGUUAUAGCUCAGAUGGCUAGAGCGCUAGUCUUGCAAACUAGAGGACAUGGGUUCAAGUCCCAUUGACUCCA